GGUUUUUUUCAACUUAUUUUGAAAUUGAAUUCUGGAACUUGAAGCUAUUGGUAAUUCAGGUUAGAGCUAUUUGUCAUGGUUAAUAGUGAAAUUCAUGGUAUGAACAAUUUAAAUGUGGUAGCAUAUUGUCAUGGGUUAAAUGUAGUUGCUUAGAGUUGUUUGUUUGCUAAUUGUUCUGUUCUUGAAAUACCUCAUGAGAUUGAACUAUUUCCAAAUACCUUAUUAAUAUGAUAGCUUCAAGUGAGUUCAAUUUUUGUUGUCCAGUUUGAUUUGUUUGUUGUGUUGGAGUUGUCAUAUGUAUACUUGAGAUGAAUAUUUAUAGGAACCAAUUGAAAUCAUAAUGUAAUGUAAUCAUCAAGAAGACUAAAGGAAAAAAAGAAAUAAAAAAGUUGAAGAUUGCAUGUUUAGUUGUUUAUAGGAAAGAAGUUUAUUUCUUUUAGAAAUGGUAAUUAAAGGGAGUGCGUGAUUAGAGGUUUCUGAGCUGGAGUUAAGCCUUUAUGCUGAAAAGAAGGGAAAAAGAAGUUGAAUGUUUAGGUGAAAAGAAAAUAGCCAAAUCAUUCCCACAUUUACACAAUAAAAGAUUUAGC
rnacentral:lncRNA from 1 species